GACGAACGCUGGCGGCGUGCUUAACACAUGCAAGUCGAGCGAUGAAGCUCCUUCGGGAGUGGAUUAGCGGCGGACGGGUGAGUAACACGUGGGUAACCUGCCUCAUAGAGGGGAAUAGCCUUUCGAAAGGAAGAUUAAUACCGCAUAAGAUUGUAGCUUCGCAUGAAGUAGCAAUUAAAGGAGUAAUCCGCUAUGAGAUGGACCCCGCGUCGCAUUAGCUAGUUGGUGAGGUAACGGCUCACCAAGGCUACGAUAUCUAGGGGGUCUGAGAGGAUGAUCCCCCA
rnacentral:rRNA from 1 species